rnacentral:sRNA from 1 species
GCUGAGCCUGGGGCUGAGCCUCAUCGCAGCCCAGGAGUUUAAUCCCCGCACCGUUGUGCAGAGGAACUACAACAUGGCCAGGGUUUCGGGGGUCUGGUACUCUAUUUUCAUGGCCUCAGAUGACCUGAAUCGGAUUAAAGAAAAUGGGGACCUGAGGGUCUUCGUCCGGAAUAUUGAACACUUGAAGAACGGCAGCCUAAAAUUUGAUUUCCAAUACAUGGUGCAGGGGGAGUGUGUAGCCGUGGUCGUGGUCUGCGAGAAGACAGAGAAGAAUGGGGAAUACUCCAUCAACUAUGAGGGCGAGAACACGGUGGCCGUCUCGGAGACUGACUACAGGCUGUUCAUCACCUUCCACCUCCAGAACUUCAGGAACGGGACCGAGACCCACACGCUGGCGCUCUACGCACGGGUCCCACAGCUGGAACCCUCCUUCCUGAGCAGAUUUGAAGAAACCUGCAAAAAGUACGGACUUGGCUCAAAAAAUAUCGUCGAUUUGACCAACAAAGAUCCCUGCUACUCCAAGCGUUAGAGGAGCCCGCCAAGGCCUCCCAUGU